UCCGUAGGGUGAACCUGCGGAGGGAUCAUUACACAAAUAUGAAGGCGGGCUGGAACCUCUCGGGGUUACAGCCUUGCUGAAUUAUUCACCCUUGUCUUUUGCGUACUUCUUGUUUCCUUGGUGGGUUCGCCCACCACUAGGACAAACAUAAACCUUUUGUAAUUGCAAUCAGCGUCAGUAACAAAUUAAUAAUUACAACUUUCAACAACGGAUCUCUUGGUUCUGGCAUCGAUGAAGAACGCAGCGAAAUGCGAUAAGUAGUGUGAAUUGCAGAAUUCAGUGAAUCAUCGAAUCUUUGAACGCACAUUGCGCCCUUUGGUAUUCCAAAGGGCAUGCCUGUUCGAGCGUCAUUUGUACCCUCAAGCUUUGCUUGGUGUUGGGCGUCUUGUCUCUAGCUUUGCUGGAGACUCGCCUUAAAGUAAUUGGCAGCCGGCCUACUGGUUUCGGAGCGCAGCACAAGUCGCACUCUCUAUCAGCAAAGGUCUAGCAUCCAUUAAGCCUUUUUUUCAACUUUUGACCUCGGAUCAGGUAGGGAUACCCGCUGAACUUAAGCAUAUCAAUAAGCGGAGGA
rnacentral:rRNA from 3 species